GUCGAACGCGCAGCGAAGAGUGCUUGCACUCUUCAAGCGAGUGGCGAACGGGUGAGUAACACGUGAAUAACCUACCGAAAAGCAGGGGAUAACAUUUGGAAACAGAUGCUAAUACCGUAUAAAACGUGCUGUCGCAUGACAAAACGUUAAAAGGUCCGUUUGGACCACUUUUUGAUGGAUUCGCGGUGCAUUAGUUAGUUGGUGGGGUAAAGGCUCACCAAGACGAUGAUGCAUAGCCGAGUUGAGAGACUGACCGGCCACAUUGGGACUGAGACACGGCCCAAACUCCUACGGGAGGCUGCAGUAGGGAAUCUUCCACAAUGGGCGCAAGCCUGAUGGAGCAACGCCGCGUGUGUGAUGAAGGCUUUCGGGUCGUAAAGCACUGUUGUAUGGGAAGAACGGUAAGGGUAGGAAAUGAUCUUUACAUGACGGUACCAUACCAGAAAGGGACGGCUAAAUACGUGCCAGCAGCCGCGGUAAUACGUAUGUCCCGAGCGUUAUCCGGAUUUAUUGGGCGUAAAGCGAGCGCAGACGGUUUGAUAAGUCUGAAGUGAAAGCCCACAGCUCAACUGUGGAAGUGCUUUGGAAACUGUCAAACUUGAGUGCAGUAGAGGUAAGUGGAACUCCAUGUGUAGCGGUGGAAUGCGUAGAUAUAUGGAAGAACACCAGUGGCGAAGGCGGCUUACUGGACUGCAACUGACGUUGAGGCUCGAAAGUGUGGGUAGCAAACAGGAUUAGAUACCCUGGUAGUCCACACCGUAAACGAUGAACACUAGGUGUUAGGGGGUUUCCG
rnacentral:rRNA from 1 species